UACAGGGGGUGCAAACGUUGCUCGGAAUCAUUGGGCGUAAAGCGCGUGUAGGCGGUCCGGUAAGUCAGCUGUGAAAGUCAAGGGCUCAACCCUUGAAUGCCGGUUGAUACUGUCGGGCUAGAGUCCGGAAGAGGCGAGUGGAAUUCCCGGUGUAGCGGUGAAAUGCGCAGAUAUCGGGAGGAACACCAAUGGCGAAGGCAGCUCGCUGGGACGGUACUGACGCUGAGACGCGAAAGCGUGGGGAGCAAACAGGG
rnacentral:rRNA from 1 species